rnacentral:rRNA from 1 species
AUUCCAGCUCCAAUAGCGUAUAUUAAAGUUGUUGCGGUUAAAAAGCUCGUAGUUGGAUUUCUGCUGAGGAUGACCGGUCCGCCCUCUGGGUGAGUAUCUGGCUCAGCCUUGGCAUCUUCCUGAAGAACGUAUCUGCACUUGACUGUGUGGUGCGGUAUUUAGGACAUUUACUUUGAGGAAAUUAGAGUGUUUCAAGCAAGCGCACGCCUUGAAUACAUUAGCAUGGAAUAAUAAGAUAGGACCUUGGCGGUCUAUUUUGUUGGUUUGCACGCCGAGGUAAUGAUUAAAAGGGACGGUUGGGGUUCUUCGUAUUCAAUUGUCAGAGGUGAAAUUCUUGGAUUUAUGGAAGACGAACUGCUGCGAAAGCGUCGAACAAGGACGUUCUCAUCA